ensembl:lncRNA
GUUAGGAGCAGAGCUGGGGUGGGAGGGGUCUUUGGAAAGCUGUUUGGAGAAGGUGUGACUUGCACACAGUCAUGAAGAAAUGUUAUAUGGGGAUGGCAAAGAAGAAAGAAGGGAGGGAGUUCUCUGGCAGUCCAGUGAUUAAGACUCCAUGCUCCCAAGCUCUCAGUGUCUUAUAACAAUGAGCUCACAAACUUCCUGGUGGUCCAGUGGUUAAGAAUCCGCCUGCCGGUGCAGUGCAGAUUUCCAUCCCUGGUCUGCGAAGAUUCCACCUGCCCGGGAGGCAACUAAGCCCUUGUGCCACAACUACUGAGCCUGUGCUCUGGAGCCCACAAGCCGCAAAUACUGAAGACUACGUGCCCUACAGCCCUUGCUCCGCAACAAGAGAAGCCACCGCAAUGGGAAGGCUGUGCACCCCAAUGAAGAAUAGCCCCUGCUCGCUACAACUAGAGAAAGCCUGCAUGCAGCAACAAAGACCCAGAGCAGCCAGAAAUUAAUAAAAUUUUAAAACAAACAAACCAAAAAACCCCCAGUGAGCUCCUGAGUCAGCAGCCCAGCCAUGGUGGCUGCUCCUGGCUGUGAUGGGUUCAGCUCUGCCCCAUCUGUUUCUUAUCCCAGGACCUGGGUUGAAGGAGCAGUGGCUGCAGGAGGCGUGCUCUUCUCAGGCUGCAAGGCUGAAGCCGAGGAGGCCAAGUCAUCCAAGCAAGCACAUUUGAGACCUCUGCCUGGAUGUGGACGAGCGACAUUCCAUCGAAAAGAUAUUGCCCUGGCUGGGGUCUCAGGAGAGGCACGUGGGGGCUGGUGCAGGAAGAGGGUCUUCACCCCUACACAGGACAAGGGAAGGAAGAAACAGGCUCCAUUUCAUCCACCCUAAACUCCCAUUCCUGGCUUUCUCACCCUGGUUUGGGU